rnacentral:rRNA from 1 species
GACAGAGGGUGCAAACGUUGUUCGGAAUUACUGGGCGUAAAGCGCGUGUAGGCUGCUCAGAAAGUCGGAUGUGAAAGCCCUGGGCUUAACCUAGGAAGUGCAUUCGAAACUUCUGAGCUUGAGUUCUGGAGAGGAAGGCGGAAUUCUCGGUGUAGAGGUGAAAUUCGUAGAUAUCGGGAAGAACACCCGUGGCGAAGGCGGCUCUCUGGGACGGUACUGACGCUGAGACGCGAAAGCGUGGGGAGCGAACAGG